rnacentral:lncRNA from 1 species
AUGGGGCAACUGUUAGGACGAUGCCCGCUUGGGAAAUACCCCCGUUGUUGUUCUAUAUCGCGGGGGCAAAUGUCGUCGGAGGCCAGGACCAGCUUGACACUGCCCCUCCUCUCCCCCCCUCCGGCCCCGGGGGUCUCUCUCUGUGUCUGUGUGUGUGUGUCUGUGUGUCCCAAAGCCCCCCAGGCCCCUCCCUCCCUGGCCAGGCCUCGAUGGGCCCUCGGGGAAGGGGCGGGGGAGGCAGGACUGGCCGGUACUCACCGCCGUGGUCCCGGGCCCCGGCCUCCUGCGCCCGCCGGGCCUCCGGCCGAGGGGCAGCCAACAAAGGGCCGCCGCCGCCGCCCGCUGUCCCCGCCGUCCCCGCCAGGAGCCCCGCGGCCCCGAUGGUUUCGCCCAUGCUCAGUGCAGAGCCCGCCUGCGCUCACGUCAGCCCCGAGCGCCGCCGCCGCCCCGCCCACAGACUCUCAGCCGGGCCCUGCUUCCCCUCAACCAGGCCCGGCUCCCCUGUCUCCUGCCCGACCCCCCCUCAGUCCGGCCCUGCUCCCCUGUGCCCUGCCCGGCUCCCCCUCAGCCAGGCCUGACAAUCCCUCAGCCCCACCCAACUCCCCUUUGCCCUGCCCAGCUCCCCCUCAGACAGGCCCAGCUCCCCUUUGCCCUGCCCGGCUGCUCCUCAGCCUGACCGGCUCCCCUGUGCCCUGCCCGGCUCCCCCUCAGCCAGGCCUGACUAUCCCUCAGCCCCACCCAACUCCCCUUUGCCCAGCUCCCCUUCAGCCAGGCCCAGCUCCCCUGUGCCCUGCCCGGCUGCCCCUUAGCCCGGCCCGGCUCCCCAUCAGUCAGGCCCGGCUCCCCUGUGUCCUGCCCGGCUUCCCCUGUGCCCUGCCCGGCUCCCCCUCAGCCCAGCCCGGCUCCCCCUCAGACAGGCCUGACAAUCCCUUAGCCCCACCCAGCUCCCCUUUGCCCUGCCCAGCUUCUCCUCAGCCCAGCCUGGCUCCCCCUCAGCAAGGCCCAGCUCCCCUGUGCCCUGCCCGGCUGCCCCUUAGCCCGCCCCGGCUCCCCCUCAGUCAGGUCCGGCUCCCCUGUGCCCUGCCCGGCUUCCCCUCAGUCAGGCCCUGCCUGGCUCCCCUUCAGUCAGGCCCGGCUCCCCCUGUGCCUUGCCCGGCUUCCCCUGUGCCCUGCCCGGCUCCCCCUCAGCCUGGCCUGACAAUCCCUUAG